rnacentral:lncRNA from 1 species
AUCAAAAUUUUAAGAAUCAAAAGUAAAACAUGUAUGUUGCAAAUUCAAAAGAGAAAAAAUAUAUAUCAAAUAUAUAUAUUUAAAUAUACUUGGUUAUUUUAUUAUUCUUUGCACUUAUUUGAAAAUUAUUUUAGUUUGGAUUUUGCCAGUCUUUGCUUUCAUUUUUGGAUUUUUUUGGAUUUUCUGUGGAUUUUUGUGGAUUUUGCUGCUAAAGACUUUUGCUUCUGGAAUCUCUCCUUUGCUUCUGCUUCAUUUUUUUGGUUCUGAUUUUUGGCACACUUUUCACGGGUGGGCGGGGCUUAGAAGAAGGCGUUCCCCUUUAAUCUCUAUUGGUCACCUACCCUGAACCCUCGUCUGAGACAGACCACGCCCACCCCGCCAGCUUCAAGCGCUCUUCCAAACAAGGCAGAGCGAACGGGGUUCAGCUCACAGCAGCACCAGCAGGUACUUUUCCAAUUAAAUUUCAUACAGACGUUAUGUUUAAUGUUAUAUUUCUUUUUUAAGUAAGUGUUUAACUCUAUUAAGAUGCUCAUGUUAGCGGGGUGUGCUAAAUAUCCAUGCUUAAAUUAUACUAGUUAGUUAGUGAACACUAACCUACCUAGUGAGUUAGCUAGCUACUUAACCUAGGUCAUCUGGUCAGUGAGUUAGUGGGUUAGCUAAGCUAGUUAUUAUGCCCCAGGGUAAAGCCAAGUAAGUGCUGGUUACGGUUAACUAGCUAACUCACUGACUAGGUAACCUAACUAGCUUAGCUAACCCACUAACUCACUGACCAGAUGACCUAGGUAAACUAGCUAACUCACUGACUAGGUAGGUUAGUGUUCACUAACUAACUAGUAUAAUUUAAGCAUGGAUAUUUAGCACACCCCGCUAACAUGAGCAUCUUAAUAGAGUUAAACACUUACUUAAAAAAGAAAUAUAACAUUAAACAUAACGUCUGUAUAAAAUUUAAUUGGAAAAGUACCUGCUGGUGCUGCUGUGAGCUGAACCCCGUUCGCUCUGCCUUGUUUGGAAGAGCGCUUGAAGCUGGCGGGGUGGGCGUGGUCUGUCUCAGACGAGGGUUCAGGCUUUUUAAGCUCCAAAGAAUCAAACGACACAGAAGACACCCUCAGAGCCAGAGGAAGAAACCUUGGGAGAAGCCAAGACCCCUGUAAGGAGGGACCUGGCCUCUUCUGGUCACUAUACAGCCAUGUUGGUCUAACAGGUUCAGGAGUGCUGAUAUAAGGGUAUUAGUGGUGGUAAGAAUAAAUAUGGAAGUAAUGGUUAAGUGUGAUAACA